rnacentral:sRNA from 1 species
UCCAUUACAGUGUCUACAGAGAGAAACUC